AGCGAACGCUAGCGGCGGGCCUAACACAUGCAAGUCGAGCGGGGAGCAAUCCCAGCGGCGGACGGGUGAGUAACGCGUAGGUGAUGUGCCUCCAGGUGGGGAAUAACCUUGGGAAACCAGGGCUAAUACCGCAUACAGCCCGAAAGGGUGAAAGCCGUAAGGCGCCAGGAGAGCAGCCUGCGUCCCAUUAUUAUUCCUAGUUGGUGAGGUAACGGCUCACCAAGGGUACGAUGGGUAGCUGGUCUGAGAGGAUGAUCAGCCACACUGGAACUGAGACACGGUCCAGACUCCUACGGGAGGCAGCAGUGGGGAAUAUUGCGCAAUGGGCGAAAAGCCUGACGCAGCCACGCCGCGUGAGUGAUGAAGGCC
rnacentral:rRNA from 1 species